CAGUAUUCAGCUUUUCAAAAGAUGAGAUUAAAGAGGUUAAAGUAACUACAAACAAGGUAAAAACCUCAAAUUCAAUAUCCUCUUAUGUACACUGAUUUCCAUGUGUUAUUAAUAAUAUAUACUUAGUAAUUUGUACAGAUAAUCACUUUUCUAACAGUGUCUGCAUUCCCUUCUGAUCCUUGCUUUGUACUGAUUCAACCAAUUGACUUUAUUAAUGGAGAAAUCUGAAGAAAAUAAACCAUGAUUUGACUAAUUCGAUUGCAUGAAAAAGAUUGAAUUGUAAAUGUUUUGGUAAAGAGAAAUUGGGUUAGAUAACAGGGAAUAUAUUUGAGCAGAGAUAGGAAAUGUAAAAUACUGUAUUGAAGGCGAAAAUUUCAAUAUUGAAAUAGUUACCAAUUUACAUCUCUUCCAUUCUAUUUCCCAGACAAGAACAAGAAAGCUUUGAUUGAAAGGAUAAUUUCUACUACUGUAUUAAGAAAAUUCUGCAUGUAUUCACACAAAGUUGUUCAAAAUACAAUGCACAUACAGUAAGCACAAGACUUGACACCAGUUGAGACAUUGAAGUGGAAGCCACAAAGGUUGGUCUCUGGUGGGAACAAAAUAGGUGGAGAAGUUGAGAAGAUGCAUCCAUCCUAACUAUAUUUCUCCUUGUAUCUGAGAAAAAAGAACCUAAACAGGCCCCU
rnacentral:lncRNA from 1 species